AUGACUGAGAAGAUGGGAUGGUCCCUGGGAGCAAAACUGGGCGAGGUGGUGGAGGUCUCACACCGCAACAGAGUCAUUGUUGAUGAGUACCUGCGGGUGCGGGUGAAGCACCCUCUUCAUGAGCCUCUACGCAAGCACAUCUUUGAAAUUAGGUUCGAGGACGGCGCGAGUGUGGUGCCGGGGCUGGCACCAACGCUACCUUCCUCUGUUGGGGGCUCCUCCAAUCAGCUGCUUCCUAAUUCAUCAACACCUCCGCCUUGUCCGGGAGCUGUGCCUUCCGGGCUGCUACUGGAGGGACCUUCCAAGGGGGGGUCGUUCGCUCCUCCGUCACACCCGGCCACUGCUACUGGGGCGCUCAGUCAACAAGGCUUGAGCCCCACAGCAAUUGCUGCUCUUCAUCAAGCUGUGCUCGCCCGGGUAAGCCGGGUGGGAAAGGACUCCAUCGCCUUUGAAGGCUUGAACCCCGGCCAGGAGGGUCGGGGUCUGGUACCUGCCUCCCCUGCUCCUUUAGGCCCCUGCCUUGGUCAGGAGGGUCGGGGCGUGGGGGCUGUUGAGGUGUCUCCUCUGGAUGCGCCUGUUGGCGAGGGGUCGGGCACUCGGAUGACUCCACAAGGUGCUCAUGUUUUUAUUUUCGCUGCUCCUAAGGUGGCUGUGCAGGGGAAUGUAAAAGCUAACUGGAAAAGAAUGGUUAGGGAGGGGGAUAGGACUCAGGUCCAGGGUCACAAUAGCAACAGGGGAGAUGAGAAUACACAUGGUCUAGGCAUAGGUAAAAAGAGAGGCGCUCCUAGUUAUGCACUGCCUACGGGUAGUGAUAUCAACUUUUCUUUUGAGAAUGCUAGCCUGGAGAGUAACGAUCUGUUCCUGACUAGGGAUGUGAAUGCCUCUUGUAAGAGGGUUUGUGGGGGUCGGGUUGAAAAGGUUUGGGGUGAGGAUGGAGCGACCUCUCAUGUUGCGAAGGAGUUAGAGGAGAAAGAGGAGGAUUAUGUAGAGGGAAGAAGGGAGUCUGUUGGAGAGAAGAAAGGUGCAAAUAGUGCUCCGGCGACCUUCGGUCAGGAGGACCGCCAGGAGAAAUGA
rnacentral:rRNA from 1 species